GAUACAGUCGUGAUAUAACAAUAUUGUUACAACCUUGUGUCGUCAACCUUGUAACAUUCUUGUUAUAUCGUGACUGUAUCAGACUUGUCAGAACAACCUUGUAACUAGUCUGAUAAUGCCAUCAAGCUUGUUACAAGUUGUUACAAUAACUGGGAACAAACAGUGCGAACACAACUUGUCGACAGCUUGUGAAUAGAUUUGUAACAACUUGUUUGCAGACUUGCGUUUUUACGUGUGGAGUUGUUGGAACAAGUUUGGAACAAGCUGUUAACAACUUGUAACAAGCUUGAUGGCAUUAUCAAACUUGUUGCAUGGUUUUUCUAACAAGUCUGAUACAGUCAUGAUAUAGCAAGAAUGUUACAAGGUUGACGACACAAGGUUGUAACAAUAUUGUUAUAUCAUGAACUGUAUCGGACUUACUGGAACAACCUUGUAGCAAG